rnacentral:rRNA from 1 species
GACGGAGGGGGCAAGCGUUGUCCGGACUUACUGGGCGUAAAGGGCCCGUAGGCGGCCCGGUGCGUCGGUGCUGAAAGCGCCCCGCUUAACGGGGUGAGGCGUGCCGAUACGACCGGGCUCGAGGCAGGCAGAGGGUGGCGGAAUUCCGGGUGUAGUGGUGAAAUGCGUAGAGAUCCGGAGGAACGCCUGUGGCGCAAGCGGCCACCUGGGCCUGACCUGACGCUGAGGGGCGAAAGCGUGGGGAGCGAAC